UACGGAAGGCAGCAGUGGGGAAUAUUGCACAAUGGGCGAAAGCCUGAUGCAGCUAUGCCGCGUGUAUGAAGAAGGCCUUAGGGUUGUAAAGUACUUUCAUCGGGGAGGAAAAACAAAACUAAUAAUUUUAUUUCUUGACGUUACCCGAAAAAGAAGCACCGGCUAACUCCGUGCCAGCAGCCGCGGUAAUACGGAGGGUGCUAGCGUUAAUCAGAAUUACUGGGCGUAAAGAGCACGUAGGUGGUUUUUUUAAGUCAGAUGUGAAAUCCCUGGGCUUAACCUGGAACUGCAUUUUGAAACUGAAAUACUAGAGUAUCGUAGAGGGAGGUAGAAUUCUAGGUGUAGCGGUGAAAUGCGUAGAUAUCUGGAGGAAUACCUGUGGCGAAAGCGGCCUCCUAAACGAAUACUGACACUGAGGUGCGAAAGCGUGGGGAGCAAACGAGGGAUUAGAUACCCG
rnacentral:rRNA from 1 species